rnacentral:tRNA from 1 species
GGGAUUGUGGCUUAGUGGUAGAGUACAUGCUUCCCAUGCAUGGGGCAUUGAGUUCAAUUCUCAGCACCA